CUGCUAAGUCGCUUCAGUCGUGUCCGACUCUGUGCGACCCCAGAGACGGCAGCCCACCAUUCGGGAAUAGAAAUAGAAUCUUCCCAGGUGGCUCAGUGGUAAAGAAUCCGCCUGCCAAGGCAGGAGAGAUGCAGCUAAAAAGAAUUUCCAAAGAUGAUAACCAAUGGACUUUUGUUGGAGAAAAACAAAUAGCAUGCCAGUCUGGACUGAUGUUGAAGCUGAAACUCCAAUACUUUGGCCACCUGAUGUGAAGAGCUGACUCAUUGGAAAAGACCCUGAUGCUGGGCAAGAUUGAAGGCAGGAGGAGAAGGGGACGACAGAGGAUGAGAUGGUUGGAUGGCAUCACCGACUCGAUGGACAUGGGUUUGGGUGGACUCCAGGAGUUGGUGAUGGACAGGGAGGCCUGGCAUGCUGCGGUUCAUGGGUUCGCAAAGAGUCAGACGACUGAGUGACUGAACUGAACUGAACUACCUCUCGAAGAGGCUCCCAGAAAUAACAAUGCUAUCC
ensembl:lncRNA